rnacentral:rRNA from 1 species
CCUACGGGGUGCAGCAGUGGGGAAUAUUGCACAAUGGGGGAAACCCUGAUGCAGCGACGCCGCGUGAGUGAAGAAGUAUUUCGGUAUGUAAAGCUCUAUCAGCAGGGAAGAAAAUGACGGUACCUGAUUAAGAAGCCCCGGCUAACUACGUGCCAGCAGCCGCGGUAAUACGUAGGGGGCAAGCGUUAUCCGGAUUUACUGGGUGUAAAGGGGGCGUAGACGGCAGCACAAGUCUGGAGUGAAAUGCCGGGGCUUAACCCCGGAACUGCUUUGGAAACUGUGCAGCUAGAGUGCAGGAGAGGUAAGUGGAAUGCCUAGUGUAGCGGGGAAAUGCGUAGAUAUUAGGAGGAACACCAGUGGCGAAGGUGGCUUACUGGACUGUAACUGACGUUGAGGCUCGAAAGCGUGGGGAGCAAACAGGAUUAGAUACCCUUGUAGUC